rnacentral:misc_RNA from 1 species
AUCAGAUUAACAAGCUCCUAACUGUUCGGAGACAUGCUGUUGUUCGCAGCUCUCCUUCACCUGCUGGUGUGCGUGCAUUCAUGGGUCAAUGACUACGACCACCCUUUCACUUUCACUUGUCCUCAACACCAAUCCAUUCAGCGGGUAGUCAGUCACCAUGACAACCACAGAGAGGACCGAGUGUUCGAUUUUACGUGUAGUAACUAUGAGGAUUCAAAAUUUGAUAGCUGCUAUUGGACAGAGUACGUGAAUGACUUUGACCAACCUGUAAUAUUUCAAUGCCCUCACGGAGGUGUGUUAAACGGGGUCAGCAGUUACCAUGACAACCACAAAGAGGAUAGACGCUUCAGAUUCUACUGCUGUGAAAGUCCAGGUUCUAGAACUUAUAGAUGUCAACAGCAUUGAAAAUUAUUUGUUAUUGUCAACGUUUAACGUUCUAAAAAUGCUCUGCCAAUAUUCAAGCUUAAAACUAAAGCCUCGCAUCUUUCUGUGAAAUGAACCUGCUGUAGUAUAUCUCUUAAAUCUAUAAUUAUCCCUGAAGCAAGACCCUUUAUCUAUUAUUUCUUUUGAUUUUUAAAACUCUAAAUUGCAUUCUGCCAGUUCGGUUGACAUAAGAACUCAAAAUUCAUUGAUUAGCCUUGUUUUGCAUUAAUGUUCAAAGAAUCACUAUUUCAAUAUGUGUUUGUUUUAAACAUUUUCCCUUCACGUUAGGGAAUUGUCUCUUCAAUUGCUACUACUCUGGGCUGGUCAACCAAUACGAUGGCGACAUGGACUAUACAGUACCAGACGGUCACGUGAUGCGAGGCUGGACAAGCGUCCAUGACAACCAUCACGAGGACAGAGUAUUUGAUUUUGAUGUCUGUCGUAUGCAGCAGUGCUUGGAUACGGGAAAUCCUGGAGAAACAGUCAUUGGAAAAUGAUGCUUUGUGGAAAUAAAAUUCAUUUG